rnacentral:rRNA from 1 species
UGAAACACGGACCAAGAAGUCUGUAUGUGCGCGAGUCAUUGAGUGGAAAACUCAUAUGGCGUAAUGAAAGUAAAGGUUGGUUUUGGCCGACUGAUAUGUGAUCCGGGCCUUCGGGCUCGGCGCAACAUAGCCCCAUGCCAUCUGCUUGCAGCGGUGUGGAGGUAGAGCGUACAUACUGGGACCCGAAAGAUGGUGAACUAUGCUUGAGCAGGACGAAGUCAGAGGAAACUCUGAUGGAAGUCCGUAGCGGUUCUGACGUGCAAAUCGAUCGUCGGACUUGAGUAUAGGGGCGAAAGACUAAUCGAACCAUCUAGUAGCUGGUUCCUGCCGAAGUUUCCCCCAGGAUAGCUGGAGUGUGAUGCAGAUAUAUUCGGUAAAGCUAAUGAUUAGAGACAUUGGGGACGAAAUGUCCUCAACCUAUUCUCAAACUUUCAAUGGGUAUGAUGUUGCGGUUGCUUGAUUGAACCGUGACUGCGAUUGUAUGCUCCAAGUGGGCCAUUUUUGGUAAGCA